GGGGCCGAUUUGGAUUCGACGCCGGUGAUGAAACUUUAGGUGCAUGCCGAGUUGGUAACAGAACUCGUAAAUCCACUGUUGCAACUUUCUAUAGUUGCCAAUGACGAAACCUACGGGGAAACAGCUCUCGCCGCGUAAGCGGUGCUUGCCUUCCUUCUGGUAGCUUCGGCUCCAGCAAUCAUCAGGGGAUGCCUGUAAACCCGAAAUGAUUGUCAUAUAGAACAGGAUCGUCGCCUAGUACGUUGCGGACGAAGCGACUAAAACUUACGCAACUCGCCCAAAGCACCCUGCCCGUCGGGUCGCUGAGGGUUAACUUAAUAGACACGGCUAAGCAUGUAGUACCGACAGCGGAGUACUGGCGGACGGGGGUUCAAAUCCCCCCGGCUCCACCA
rnacentral:tmRNA from 2 species